UUAAGUCCCGCAACGAGCGCAACCCUUAAGCUUAGUUGCCAUCAUUAAGUUGGGCACUCUAAGUUGACUGCCGGUGACAAACCGGAGGAAGGUGGGGAUGACGUCAAAUCAUCAUGCCCCUUAUGAUUUGGGCUACACACGUGCUACAAUGGACAAUACAAAGGGCAGCGAAACCGCGAGGUCAAGCAAAUCCCAUAAAGUUGUUCUCAGUUCGGAUUGUAGUCUGCAACUCGACUACAUGAAGCUGGAAUCGCUAGUAAUCGUAGAUCAGCAUGCUACGGUGAAUACGUUCCCGGGUCUUGUACACACCGCCCGUCACACCACGAGAGUUUGUAACACCCGAAGCCGGUGGAGUAACCUUUUAGGAGCUAGCCGUCGAAGGUGGGACAAAUGAUUGGGGUGAAGUCGUAACAAGGUAGCCGUAUCGGAAGGUGCGGCUGGAUCACCUCCUUUCUAAGGA
rnacentral:rRNA from 1 species